rnacentral:rRNA from 1 species
CCUACGGGGGGCUGCAGUGGGGAAUAUUGGACAAUGGGGGCAACCCUGAUCCAGCCAUGCCGCGUGUGUGAAGAAGGCCCUCGGGUUGUAAAGCACUUUCAGUGAGGAAGAACGCCUGGUGGUUAAUACCCAUCAGGAAAGACAUCACUCACAGAAGAAGCACCGGCUAACUCCGUGCCAGCAGCCGCGGUAAUACGGAGGGUGCGAGCGUUAAUCGGAAUUACUGGGCGUAAAGCGCGCGUAGGUGGCUUGAUAAGCCGGUUGUGAAAGCCCCGGGCCCAACCUGGGAACGGCAUCCGGAACUGUCAAGCUAGAGUGCAGGAGAGGAAGGUAGAAUUCCCGGUGUAGCGGUGAAAUGCGUAGAGAUCGGGAGGAAUACCAGUGGCGAAGGCGGCCUUCUGGACUGACACUGACACUGAGGUGCGAAAGCGUGGGUAGCAAACAGGAUUAGAUACCCGUGUAGUC